rnacentral:lncRNA from 1 species
GGGUGUGCUGUUCCUUAGGCUGUCGAGGCUGUCUCCUACCAGACAGAAACCGAGGUCCAAGGAAGAGGAGGGGAGAGUUUCGGAGCCAAAUGUUUUUCCUCCAGCUAGACUUUACACCCGCCCCCACCAGCUGCCCCAGUCUUAGCGGACUUUGAUGUGUCUGAGCUUUAAGAAUCCUCAUUCUACUUUGUAACCCCAGCAACUUCCUCACGUAGGACCAAGUGCCAGUGAGCAAGGAGCAGCUGCUGCAGCAGCCAUCACCCACAGAGGAGCAUCUUCAUCCAGUAACCCUCUGCGUGCCACUGUGUGUCUGUGCCUGAUUCAGAGAUGGCACCGAUCCUUAGGACUUGGAAAAGACUGAAAGUGAAGGAAACAAAGUACAUGAAAGAGCUGAGGCCAGCACGUAAGGAAUCUGAGUCUCUUGAAGCCCCUUGGUCUCCAUGAGUCCUUAGAGAUGCUAAGCGAGGCAUAACUCAGCGUUGACAGUCCAGGAAGGUCCUGCUUCUCUCACGAUUAAGGGAACCAUCUACUUCAGUGUGUCUACACUAUCGGUGGAACAUCCAGUGGUCCUUAUAGUCCACCCAAGACCAAUGGACCACAGGGUAGAACCACCUUCAAACUUGCAGGGUUGAACCAAGGUCAGAGAAGCCC